UCCCUCUUAGCUCAGUUGGUAGAGCGCGUCACUAGUAUAACAAAUUGAUAGUUUCAAUGACGAGGUCAGUCGUUCAAGUCGGCUAGAGGGAA
rnacentral:tRNA from 1 species